CAGUAGCCGCGGGAAUACAGAGGGUGCAAGCGUUAAUCGGAAUUACUGGGCGUAAAGCGCGCGUAGGUGGUUUGUUAAGUUGGAUGUGAAAUCCCCGGGCUCAACCUGGGAACUGCAUCCAAAACUGGCAAGCUAGAGUAUGGUAGAGGGUGGUGGAAUUUCCUGUGUAGCGGUGAAAUGCGUAGAUAUAGGAAGGAACACCAGUGGCGAAGGCGACCACCUGGACUGAUACUGACACUGAGGUGCGAAAGCGUGGGGAGCAAAUGGGAUUAGAUACCCCGGUAGUCCCUGUCUCUUAUAC
rnacentral:rRNA from 1 species